CCCCCCCCCCCAGAACGUGACAAUAUAAUUAAAGCACUAUUCGCUCGAAAGCCAAUAUUCACUGAAGAUCAGUAAUUUUUUCACUUUUAAGAUGAUAUUCCGCGCAAGCGGGAAAUAACACUUUACAAAUUGAUGAGUUUGUUGUACGAGCCCUUUAUGAAAGAAGCCCCCCAGAACGUGACAAUAUAAUUAUAGCACUAUUCGCUCGAAAGCUAAUAUUCACUGAAGAUCAGUAAUUUUUUCACUUUUAAGGUGAGUGCUAACACCAACCUUUUAUUUUUUUAUCGUUUGAAUAUCACUUUCAAUCACGACUUUUCUGCUUUAAGAAUGUUAAAAUUUCUCAACUUUUUAAGUACAAUAUUUGUGCUUUUAUAUGAAAAUUGAAAAUCUGUUCUGGUUGCAAGUAGGA